rnacentral:tRNA from 1 species
GGAGAGGUCGCAUAGUUCGGUCUAGUGCGCACGAUUGGAAAUCGUGUAGGCGUCAAAGCCUCGCGGGUUCAAAUCCCGCCCUCUCCGCCU